rnacentral:rRNA from 1 species
UACGUAGGAGGCGAGCGUUGUCCGGAAUCACUGGGUGUAAAGCGCGUGUAGGCGGCCUGCCAAGUCUGCUGUGAAAGCGCCUGGCUUAACCGGGCGAGGUCGGUGGAAACUGGCGGGCUGGAGGACGGUAGAGGGGUGGAAUUCCCGGUGUAGUGGUGAAAUGCGUAGAUAUUAGGAAGAACACCGGUGGCGAAGGCGGCCCACUGGAUCGGUACUGACGCUGAGGUGCGAAAGCGUGGGAGCAAACAGG